CAGUUGAGCGGUAAGGCCCCUUCGGGGGUACACGAGCAGCGAACGGGUGAGUAUCGCGUGGGUAACCUACCCAGAGGUGGGGGAUAGCCCCGGGAAACCGGGGGUAAUUCCGCAUGAGUCCUCGGUGACACAAGUCGCCGCGGGGAAAGGCGGGGAUCCUUCGGGACCUGUCGCCUCUGGAUGGGCCCGCGUCCGAUUAGCUAGUUGGUAGGGUAAUGGCCUACCAAGGCGACGAUCGGUAGCCGGCCUGAGAGGGUGAACGGCCACAUUGGGACUGAGACACGGCCCAGACUCCUACGGGAGGCAGCAGUGGGGAAUUUUGGGCAAUGGGGGAAACCCUGACCCAGCGACGCCGCGUGGAGGAUGAAGGCCUUCGGGUUGUAAACUCCUGUCAGGUGGGAAGAAAAGCUGUCCGGUUAAUACCCGGAUGGAAUUGACGGUACCACCAAAGGAACCCCCGGCUAACUCCGUUGCCAUCAGCCGCGGUAAUACGGAGGGGGCAAGCGUUAUUCGGAUUUACUGGGCGUAAACCGCCACGUAGGGCGGCAUGGUAAGGUCACAGGGUGAAAGCCCUCGGCUCAACCCGAGGAACUUGCCUUUUGAAACCGCUUUUGCUUUGACUCCGGGAACGGGGGGAANCNGGAAUUCCCC
rnacentral:rRNA from 1 species